UGAUCAGGUUGAUAGGUCUGAGGUGGAAGUGUGGCGACACAUGGAGCUGACAGAUACUAAUCGAUCGAGGACUUAACCAUAUUU
rnacentral:rRNA from 1 species